rnacentral:rRNA from 1 species
AUUGAACGCUGGCGGCAUGCUUUACACAUGCAAGUCGAACGGUAACAGGCCGCAAGGUGCUGACGAGUGGCGAACGGGUGAGUAAUGCAUCGGAACGUGCCCAGUCGUGGGGGAUAACGCAGCGAAAGCUGUGCUAAUACCGCAUACGAUCUGUGGAUGAAAGCGGGGGACCGUAAGGCCUCGCGCGAUUGGAGCGGCCGAUGUCAGAUUAGGUAGUUGGUGGGGUAAAGGCUCACCAAGCCGACGAUCUGUAGCUGGUCUGAGAGGACGACCAGCCACACUGGGACUGAGACACGGCCCAGACUCCUACGGGAGGCAGCAGUGGGGAAUUUUGGACAAUGGGCGCAAGCCUGAUCCAGCAAUGCCGCGUGCAGGAAGAAGGCCUUCGGGUUGUAAACUGCUUUUGUAUGGAACGAAAAGCAUUCGGCUAAUAACCGGGUGUUAUGACGGUACCGGAAGAAUAAGCACCGGCUAACUUCGUGCCAGCCGCCGCCGUAAAAC